GCACCAUUAGCUCAAUUGGUAGAGCACCUGACUCUUAAUCAGGGUGUCCCCGGUUCGAACCCGUGAUGGUGCACCA
rnacentral:tRNA from 1 species